rnacentral:lncRNA from 1 species
ACCACAUUUUGGUUAUCUGUUUAUCAGUGAUGGACAUUUGGGUUGUUUCCACUUUUUGGCUAUCGUGAAUAAUGGUCCUCCUCUUUAGUAAUCCAGUGAAAGAUGUGGACCUGUCACUGGAAAAAAUGCACACUUGUGUCUAUGUACAAUGUUGCAUGGGUGAUAUCCCCUUGCAUUGGACCUUCUGUGCUUCUGCUUUACUUGUCAAAUAGCUCUAAUCCAGACAGACUUUUAAAAAGAGUGACUGAGAUGUUAAGUUCUGUCCCAAAGAUGGUCAAGAUCCUCUGCUACCAAGAGCAAACAGAUUAAUCUAUCCCAACUGUGCACAAGCUUCCAUAUGUCAGGCUCAACCACAGGAAAUUGUCAGUUUCUGACCCACAAAAAUGGCUAUUUCACAGGAAACAAACAACGUAAGAAUUUCCCCAAUGUGAGUCAUGUUUAAAAAUACAGUGAGAGGAAAGUUGACAUUUUGCAAAAUAAGCAGCAUUUUCUAAUUUCACAAAAAGGCAGAACAAAUAAAAUGCCUGCUUCUGCCCAACCUGCCUCCCAGUGACAAUGAAUUACGGAUGACAAAGCAUUGGGAAUGGCUCUCAUGGCUGCACAACAGCUUCCUAUUGGUAGGAUUCCAAAAGCUUACCGUGUGGAAACUACUCGCAUGGUGCCUAAACAGGACCUGUUACUUAAUGACCUUGACCCACUGAAACAAUUUUCUAUUACAAUGAAGUAUACACACUCUUAUCACUUUGUUGUUUCCUUAGCUCCAACUCUUAUAAACAUCAACAGGAUGUUUUUUAUUUGUGCUCCUGCCCAUAAUAUAAACCUAAAAAAAUCUACCCAUGCCAAACAUAAUUUUUGAGUACUUACACAUUCAAGGCAGUGUAGAGGACACAAAGACAGUUACUCCUACCCCACUGUCCUUUUGGUCUAGUAGAGGGAAAUAUGACUUUAUUUGUAUUUGUCAAUUCCAACAUUUAUUGAGUAUCAUUUUGUGGACUGAGUACCUACUGUGAUGAUCAUUACUCAUAAACUAUUAAAUACUGAGAA